AACGUAGGAGACAAACGUUAUCCGGAGUUACUGGGCGUAAAGGGCGUGCAGGUGGUCUGUUAAGUCUGGCGUGAAAGCUCCUGGCUAAACCGGGAGAGGUCGUUGGAUACUGGCGGACUAGAGGACGGUAGAGGCGUGUGGAAUUCCGGGUGUAGUGGUGAAAUGCGUAGAGAUCCGGAGGAACACCAGUGGCGAAGGCGACACGCUGGGCCGUACCUAACACUGAUACGCGACAGCAUGGGGAGCGAACGGG
rnacentral:rRNA from 1 species